rnacentral:rRNA from 1 species
AGAGUUUGAUCCUGGCUCAGAAUCAACGCUGGCGGCGUGCCUAACACAUGCAAGUCGAACGCGAAAGUGGAGCAAUCCAUGAGUAGAGUGGCAAACGGGUGAGUAACACGUGGGCGACCUACCUCAGAGUGGGGGAUAACCUUCCGAAAGGAGGGCUAAUACCGCAUGACAUCCCGUGUUUGGAUACACGGAGAUCAAAGCCGGGGAUCGCAAGACCUGGCGCUUGGAGAGGGGCCCGCGUCCGAUUAGCUAGUUGGUGAGGUAACGGCUCACCAAGGCUCCGAUCGGUAUCCGGCCUGAGAGGGCGGACGGACACACUGGAACUGAGACACGGUCCAGACUCCUACGGGAGGCAGCAGUGGGGAAUUGUUCGCAAUGGGCGCAAGCCUGACGACGCAACGCCGCGUGGAGGAUGAAGAAUUUCGGUUCGUAAACUCCUUUCGACCGAGAAUGAAAUGGCCCGUGACCCAACACGUCACGGGAUUGACAGUAUCGAGAGAA